UACGGAGGGUGCAAGCGUUAAUCGGAAUUACUGGGCGUAAAGCGUGCGCAGGCGGUUUGUUAAGUCUGCUGUGAAAUCCCCGAGCUCAACUUGGGAAUUGCAGUGGAUACUGGCAAGCUGGAGUACGGUAGAGGAAGGUGGAAUUCCCGGUGUAGCAGUGAAAUGCGUAGAGAUCGGGAGGAACACCAGUGGCGAAGGCGGCCUUCUGGACCAGUACCGACGCUCAUGCACGAAAGCGUGGGGAGCAAACAGG
rnacentral:rRNA from 1 species